CAAUUAUUAUGGAUGUAUGAUCGGAGCUGAGCUCGAGGUUGGGUGUUAUUUUUAGUUUAUUUGUGUUUAGUCCCCUUGUAACUGCAAAGUCCAGAAGAGCUGGUUUUUUGUUCAGGUCAGUCGGCCAAUGUGUCGGUAUUCCUGUGGAUAAUAUAUUGAGGUUAUUAUUUCUAAUGUAUUUUUCCAGUGUUCUGCCUCGAGGUGUAAUGUUUCUUGACCCCCAAAGCGUGUGCUUUGAGUUGUAGUCUCCCGCUGCGAUGUACUUGUCCCCUAGGUCCUGGAAGUAUUCUUCCCACAUUUGUGUUG
rnacentral:misc_RNA from 1 species